CUUUCUCCUUCUUUCCUCUGGUUCGAUCUUACUUUCNNNNNNNNNNNNNNNNNNNNNNGGAGGUGGUGGUGAUGUGUGGUGGUUAUGGUGGAUGGUGAUGUAUCUCGAAAUUCAUCUUCUAGAUUUCAUCUUUCUCAAUUUGUGAAUAUUCAUCUCUCUAAUUGGUUUUAUAUGUUGGUUUUUUGCAGGCUUUAUGAAAGAGGAAGCUCAGUUUCAAUUUUUGGGUUCUCAGUUUUAGGUUUGGUUUAUGUUUUUCUGUUUCUUUGCUGGUUUUCCUUCUAUUUUUCCUGUAUCAUUCUUGCUGAUUUGUUCAGCAUCGUCUUGCAAAGAAAUAGAAGCCUCAUCCCAUCAAUUUGAGUUAUAGUUAUUUAGAUUAAAAAUACAUUCUACUUAGGUUACGAACAAUAGAAGUUUUAUCAUGUUAUUAUCUUCUUGAUUAUGAAUGAUGACAGAUUUAAUAAGUUUGAUUGAUGGAACAAUGACAAAUUUAAAAGUUUGAAACAAUUUUUAGUGUUUUAAUAAGUAUGAAACAAUUUCUUUGUCAUAGUAAAUAAUAAAUAAUCUCUUUUAUUGUAAUAGUUAAAAGAUGAUUUGUUGAGAAUGGUUAAAUAAAACACCUUCAAACAAACUCCAUCCUUGCUGAUUUUUAUUGUGUAUGUGUUGUUGGUGUUGGAAUUGCAACAAGGUAACUAGAAUCAAAGUGUGAUAAGAUUAAGGUAACUAAUCACGAAGUAAUUUGGAGGAGUAUCAAAGAUACUAGAACAGCCAAGAAGCAUCUGGUGCGGAGAUAAAAAGUAGACUGUGCAUUUUGAUGUCAUUCAAUGGUGAGAAAUUUAUUUCAAAUCUGCUAGGUGUGUGGAAAAAGGUAACAAAUCUAUUCCUUUAUGAUAUGUUUGGUGUGUAGAAAAAGGUUAGAAAUUUAUUUUCUUCAAUUGUUUAUGAUUCUCAUUAUAUUAGAAGGUAAGAAAUUCAAAAUUGUUUUGAAUUCAUAACUAACUUGAUGGUUGGUGUUUUUACAGGGCCUUUGUUUUACUCAUACUGGACUUAUUCCAUAUUGAGUUUUGUUCCUUAUUUCUUAUGUUGUUCCUUUUUUAGUUUGUAAAUGUUAUUGUUUUCCCUUUUUAUCGUCUCAUUUUGCCCCUUCUUAAGGUAAUUUUCAGAGAUUGUUUUAUACUAUAGCGCUCGAUAUUCUUUUUGAAUGAUUUCUUUUUUAGAAAUUGGUUUACACUAUAGCAGGUUUUGAAGACUAUAACAGAAAAAGUGGGCACUGAUGGUUUCUUUCAUAACUGAAUGGGCAAUUAUGACAUCAAUGAAUUCACGGGGCUGUGCAACUACACUUUAAGGAAUGAAGAGUUAGGAAUGAAAUAAGAGUGACAAUUUUGGUUGCUAGAG
rnacentral:lncRNA from 1 species